rnacentral:rRNA from 1 species
AGUGAACGCUGGCGGCAGGCCUAACACAUGCAAGUCGAACGGCAGCACAGGAGAGCUUGCUCUCUGGGUGGCGAGUGGCGGACGGGUGAGGAACACAUCGGAAUCUACCUUGUCGUGGGGGAUAACGUAGGGAAACUUACGCUAAUACCGCAUACGAACUAUGGUUGAAAGCGGCGGACCGCAAGGCGUCGCGCGAUUGGAUGAGCCGAUGUCCGAUUAGCUAGUUGGCGGGGUAAAGGCCCACCAAGGCGACGAUCGGUAGCUGGUCUGAGAGGAUGAUCAGCCACACUGGAACUGAGACACGGUCCAGACUCCUACGGGAGGCAGCAGUGGGGAAUAUUGGACAAUGGGGGCAACCCUGAUCCAGCCAUGCCGCGUGUGUGAAGAAGGCCUUAUGGUUGUAAAGCACUUUAAGCGAGGAGGAGGCUCUUUUGGUUAAUACCCAAGAUGAGUGGACGUUACUCGCAGAAUAAGCACCGGCUAACUCUGUGCCAGCCGCCGCCGUAA